rnacentral:rRNA from 1 species
GAGCGGCGGACGGGUGAGUAAUACUUAGGAAUCUACCUAGUAGUGGGGGAUCGCACGGGGAAACUCGUAUUAAUACCGCAUACGACCUACGGGAGAAAGGGGGCAGUUUACUGCUCUCGCUAUUAGAUGAGCCUAAGUCGGAUUAGCUAGAUGGUGGGGUAAAGGCCUACCAUGGCGACGAUCUGUAGCUGGUCUGAGAGGAUGAUCAGCCACACCGGGACUGAGACACGGCCCGGACUCCUACGGGAGGCAGCAGUGGGGAAUAUUGGACAAUGGGGGAAACCCUGAUCCAGCCAUGCCGCGUGUGUGAAGAAGGCCUUUUGGUUGUAAAGCACUUUAAGCAGUGAAGAAGACUCCAUGGUUAAUACCCAUGGACGAUGACAUUAGCUGCAGAAUAAGCACCGGCUAACUCUGUGCCAGCAGCCGCGGUAAUACAGAGGGUGCAAGCGUUAAUCGGAAUUACUGGGCGUAAAGGGAGCGUAGGUGGCUCGAUAAGUCAGAUGUGAAAUCCCCGGGCUCAACCUGGGAACUGCAUCUGAUACUGUUGAGCUAGAGUAUGUGAGAGGAAGGUAGAAUUCCAGGUGUAGCGGUGAAA